GGGGUUGUAGCUCAGUGGUUGAGUGCUUGCCUUGAAUGUAGGAGGCACUGGGUUCGAUCCUCAGCACCA
rnacentral:tRNA from 1 species